CUCUGCUUCACCUUUUGAUGUAUAGGGCCUAAUUGUAAUACAUUAGGUUAACCAUCUGUGACAGUUAAUAUUAGGUGUCAACUUGAUUGGAUUGAAGGAUGCCUAGAUGGCUGGUAAAGUCUUGUUUCUCACUGUGUCUAUGUUGCCAGAGGAGAUUGACAUUUGAGACAGUGGACUGGGAGAGGAAGACCAACCCUUAAUGUGGGUGGGCACCAUUCAAUCGGCUACCAUCUCGGCUAGAAGGAAGCAGGUGGAAGAAAGUGGGCUAAGCUGGCUUGCUGCGCCUUCUGGCUUUCACCUUCCUCCCAGGCUGGAUGCUUCCUUCCACUCCUCCUGCCCUUGGACAUCAGACUCCAGGUUCCUCGGCCUUUGGACUCUUGGGCUUACUAUCUCGUUCUGUUACUCAGGCUGGAGUGCAGUGGUGGCAUCACAGCUCACUGCACCCAUGACCUCCUGACUCAAGCGAUCCUCCCACCUCAGCCUCCCAAAGUGCUGGGAUAUUACAGACAUGAG
rnacentral:lncRNA from 10 species